GCAUUAGUCGAGUUGGGACUUUGAGGGUGCUAUUUUUCUUUUGUUUCUUUCUUUCUUUUUUCUUUCUUUUGAUUUUUGAUUUGAUUUCUUUUGAUUUUGCACCCUCCUCUUUCUUUUUUUUCUUUUUUUUUAAAUGCCCCAGUUGGUUGUUUUGCUGAUUCUCGAGAUGCAGCUGAGUGAUCUUCUUUUCUUGCUCAAGAAGUUGGGAAAUCUCGUCAGGAAUCCCUUCAACAUCAUCUUCUUCCGCUUCGAA
rnacentral:lncRNA from 1 species